ensembl:lncRNA
AACAGCAUCAACUUCCGGUAGAUAGGCAACACAGCUUUAGUCACAAUGUGUUUGACAUCUUCCCUGGGGCAUCUAACGACCUGAUAUCGGCAAGAUAAAAAAUAUGACAAUGUGAACAACAGGCACAUGAAAUGGAUGUCUUUCAGAUCUCCCUUUUUAUAUCAGAAUAAGUCAGUGAGACCUGCAAACAUCUGUCUCCAAUAGAAAAACAAGGUGUAUGCUCACCUUUUUCUGUCUCUCACCAGAUCGUGAAUACAGUGCGGAGCGGCAUGCUGAAGUGACAAUCUUGAAGCAACCAAUCAGAGACUUUGAACUACGUCCAGUGCCUCUUAUUCAAACGAUUUAUUCUCUGCAGUGUGGAGUUGACGUUCCAUCUCUACAAGAUGAACUCUUUUUACUUUGUACAGUGUUGAUGCGACUCAUCGUUGACUGAGAUUGUGUGUUUUGCUGUGUUGGAUGUGUAAAAAGAAAAACUUGAUGGUACUGAAGGUGCCGGCCUUCUAUCAAUGAUUCAUUAUGGCCACUUCAAUUGGUACACGUUUAAAUAAAGGGACAGAGUGGUUUCAUAAGGAGAAGAGCAAGGUUGUUAUUCCAGCGGCAGCAAUUUCUAACAAUGAAAGGGUCGCUGCUUGUUCACAGGAGUAGGUUUGGGAGCAGGCAAAAUUAAUUAUCGUUAAUGUAGAAAUAGUAUGGGUGGAAGAAGUUGGUCAUGGAUUUGAUCAUCAGGCUAUUAGGUGACUUACACAUCUGAUGUAGAGAUCUGGGCGUAUUCACAAAUGGUCACAGAGUUAAAGUAUUGAUAAAGGAUUAGUUUUGCCUUUUAGAUCAUAAUGAAUAAGGAUUUAUCGACAGGGAGGAUCUUUCCCUUGAUCAGCACUCUGAGACACAGAGUAGCAGUUCCUGUGAACAAGCAGUCUCAGAUAAGGAGACGGCACUACAGCCUAUGAACUACCGCAUUUGAUUUCUCCCCCAUAUUCUACAUCUCUCCAUCUCUGGCCCCUGGCAGCCAGGUAAUGCUGGAUCAUGAAGGCAAACUGUGAUGAAGCCUUUUGUAUGUGUUAGAAUGGGAACUGACAUUAACCCCUCGACUAAGCUAAGCUGCUCUACAGAAGUUAUAGUGCUGUUGCCUUUCCAACCGAAAACAGUAACCAUCUCAAAACAGGUGUAAAUACUGUACUACGCCAUGAAAUUCGAAUGAUGUAUUCUUACUUUAGUUUGUAUUUUGAAAAAUGACUACUACAAAGACCCUCUAAGUAUCUAGCCUUCAUGCUCUCCGAAUAAUUGUUUACUCCAAUGUUUUUUGUUAUUUAAAGUCUUGACUGUUAUGACACUAAAAAGGAUUUAAGACAGACCAAGUACAUGGAUUUUCCAGAAGCACUAUUUUUCAUCCAAUUAGAUUCCCAUAGUCUUAAAGAGAAAAUGUUAACACUUCGGGGUUUGUUGCAGAGCCACGAAUGGGGACCUGAUUUGAUUAAAUAUCUUUCACCUGUUGAAAACUGACAAUUCUAUGCUAUAAUAGAGUUUCUAUGUCCAACAAUUGUAUUUUAGACACAUUUUGUUUGAUCAGCACAUGAAAUGCAAAUCAAUCACCCACUCACCCUUAUUCUAUUGAUGAUUUUAUUUGACUUAAACACAUGUUUGAUCAGUUAAAGUGAACUGUCUCUUCUGUAACCCUUGAUGUACACCAUGACAAAGGGCAUGUUAUCAUGUUAUUCCACCAGCUGUCAACCUGUGUACAGAACUUUAUGGAGUGUUUGCCCAGCACCCAUUGUGGAAGACAUUUUAUGACUUGAGCUAACUGCAGGAAGUAAUAACUUGCCCUGUAAAGUGAAAAAAACUUCAGCCCCUCAAGUGCAGGUUUUACCUUUGUCCAACUCAGUUGUUACUUUCACAUUGUAAAAAAAUAAAUAAGAAUCUACCCUAGCCAGUAGCUUUUAUUACCAUCAGCUAUGAUUCUUGCACAAAGGAAACCAGCUGUGAGAUGUAUUUGGAUGUUUAAUACAUGUGGUUCCUGUAGCCUACUUUUACUUGCGAAAAACCCAGGCACUCUGGAACUAUACAUUCUAUGAAAGUUGAUCAUUUGUUUCCUAUCUAAACAUUUAUCAGAUUUUCCCCCAUAUCAUCCAUGUUGAAGUCUCUUAUUGAUGGGCGAGGUGCCAGAUACAUAAGUGCAUUGUAUAUAUAUAUAACGUUUUCAAAAAUGUAUUUUUUUCAUCGGUUCUUACGAAAUGUGCGUAUAUCGUAAGAAGGUUGUUUUUUCUUUCUCAGGUACUUUGGUGGAAGGAUGACUUUUUCCUCUGUCCAAUCAGAUUUUGUUUUGGUAAUUUCCUGUCCUUUAUUAAUGGGUCUCUUUUUAAAAAGAUGUAUACAGAUUUAUCUAAGUGUGAUCAUCGUAGUUUACCCUAUCAUCACAGGCUCUUUUAAGAGAGUCUUUGGUAAAAUUGCGUAAGUCCUUUUUCUAAUGUUAUGCAGCACUAUUAAAACUAAAGAUUUUC